rnacentral:lncRNA from 1 species
GACAUCUGGAUGUCUCUCAACCUGAGUCUCUUGUUAAAAAUAAUGGACCCUGAGUACGGACAGACAUGAGUUGAAUGCAGAUGAAUGUGAAAUGAGACCAAUGCAAAUGCAUGAAUGCAGGUUGCUGUGCCACCCAGUAAUCGGAAGACCCAUUCUCUGAACCAGUCACAGUCUACUGAGUCACCAUAAAUCCGACUUGGGGAGUUCCGAAAUAAACGGAACUGGAGAUUACAUCACUACCAUCACAGGAACAUCCACUGAACGGAUGACAAUCAGAUCCUCUGAACCGGUACUCUCAUAUUCAACCCGGGGAUCCGAAAUAAACGGAACCCGCUGAUAAACCACGGACAGAACUCCGGCGUCCCAGAAAUAAAUGUCCAUAAUUCAC